CCUACGGGUGGCAGCAGUGAGGAAUAUUGGUCAAUGGGCGCAAGCCUGAACCAGCCAAGUCGCGUGAAGGAUGACUGCCCUACGGGUUGUAAACUUCUUUUAUAAAGGAAUAAAGUUAUGCACGUGUGGCUUUUUGUAUGUACUUUAUGAAUAAGGAUCGGCUAACUCCGUGCCAGCAGCCGCGGUAAUACGGAGGAUCCGAGCGUUAUCCGGAUUUAUUGGGUUUAAAGGGAGCGUAGAUGGGUUGUUAAGUCAGUUGUGAAAGUUUGCGGCUCAACCGUAAAAUUGCAAUUGAUACUGGAAGUCUUGAGUGCAGUUGAGGUAGGCGGAAUUCGUGGUGUAGCGGUGAAAUGCUUAGAUAUCACGAAGAACUCCGAUUGCGAAGGCAGCUUACUAAGCCGCCACUGACAUUGAUGCUCGAAAGUGUGGGUAUCAAACAGGAUUAGAUACCCGAGUAGUC
rnacentral:rRNA from 1 species